UGGCGUUUUCUUUCAAUUUUUGUUUUCGUAAUAUGUUUGUUUGGCUAUUAAUUGCAGGCUUUUUUUGCCAUGUUUUUAUUCAUUGGUUUAAAUAACAUGUAUUCUCCCUCCGAGAGGCAGCAAUGCUUAAGGUGCCCAAUCUGGCUAUGCUCAAUGUGCAUUCAUCGAGUCUAGGCGGUCCUCAGGAGGCUGAUGUUGGUGGAUACAGAGAUUAUGCUUCAGCCACAUCACAUUUUGAGGGCCAAUACAGAGCUGUUUAUGGCUCAGCUUCCAUGAGUGGUGCUCAACAGGGAAUUCUUGCAGAAUCACUGGGCAAAGACUUGAAUGAUCAUGUAUUUACCCUAGUGGAAGGCAUUGUCGAUGCUGGCAAAAAGAGUGGCAAUACUGGUAGUUGUGAGGAGUUGUUAGGAUGUGCUGAGGAGGGAGAGAGAUCUGUGGCCGGCCUCUGUUGAGGACCAAUGCAAGGAAAUGACCAUCCACGAGUUGAACUCAGCUCUUAAAGAGCCUGCUGUUAAGGACAUGGUCUUUCCCCCGUGGAUUCGGGUUGGAGGUCUCAUUUCCCCUAAGAUUAGGAAGAAUAUAUCUACAUUCCUUCUCAUCCUAACUGCAGUUUAUCAUUUCAGACACAUUUUUAAUUGUCAUAAACUGGUUCUCCUAACUGCAGUUUAUCAUUUCAGGCACAUUUUCAAUUGUCAUAAACUGGUUCAACUGUAAAAUUGAAUUUAGUGUGGUUGCUUCCGUACCUGCUUGUCCUCGGUAUUGACAGAAGUUUAUAACGGGCAUUGGAUCGCAUUCACAAUACUCUCAAAGAUGUUUUGCGUAGCUGAUCCUCCUUACGACAAGUCACUCCAACAAUUGCAAAGCUUUUUAUCAGGUCUAGUUUCUGAAGAGAAGUUAGAACUAAGGGAUGGGAUGUACUUCUUGAAGAAGUAAAAGCUGGCAUUCUUGUAAUUCACCCAUCAACUCUUGAAAUAGCAAGCACACUGAGAUUCUCUCUCAAAACCUUGCUGCUGACCGUCCGCAAUGUUUUUCAUUAUAAUAUAGAGUAGUCACUCUUUUGUAAUUAGUCAUUACUGAUUACUGUACACAAUGACUACACCGGCCUCGCCGGUGAAUCUAAUAUCGCUCUAUAUAUAUAUAUUAAAUUCUCA